CUGGGUAUAGCUCAGUGGUAGAGCACAUGCUUAGCAUACAUGAGGGCCUGGAUUCAAUCUCCAGCACCAAAA
rnacentral:tRNA from 1 species